GUGCCAGCCGCCGCGGUAAUACGGAGGGUGCAAGCGUUAUCCGGAUUUAUUGGGUUUAAAGGGUCCGUAGGCGGGGAUCUAAGUCAGUGGUGAAAGCCUGCAGCUCAACUGUAGAAUUGCCAUUGAUACUGGAUUUCUUGAGUACAUUUGAAGUUAGCGGAAUGUGUCAUGUAGCGGUGAAAUGCUUAGAUAUGACACAGAACACCGAUUGCGAAGGCAGCUAACUAAGAUGUCACUGACGCUGAGGGACGAAAGCGUGGGGAUCAAACAGGAUUAGAAACCCCUGUAGUCC
rnacentral:rRNA from 1 species